GGCACCUAAAAGCGUUUUCUUGCACGCUAACAUAUGCGCUUGAAAAUCGUAGUUGUGUGCCAGAGAAAACGUCACAGUAGCAUGUGACUUGAUUAAUGCAACAAAUCAAGUCCAAUUACACUGUUCACAUGU